UACACGCUGUGACUAGCAUAUCAAUAAGCGGAGGAAAAGAGACUAACAAGGAUUCCCCUAGUAACGGCGAGUGAAGCGGGAAGAGCUCAAAUUUGAAAUCUUAAAGGGUUUCCCUUUACGAAUUGUAGUUUAAAGAAGUGUUUUCUGUUGAGGUUUUGGUAAAAGUUCUUUGGAAUAGGACAUCAUAGAGGGUGAGAAUCCCGUAUUUGACCUUUACUUUCAACUUUGUGAUACACUUUCAAAGAGUCGGAUUGUUUGGGAAUGCAGUCCAAAAUGGGUGGUAAAUUUCAUCUAAAGCUAAAUAUUGGCGAGAGACCGAUAGUGAACAAGUACCGUGAGGGAAAGAUGAAAAGAACUUUGAAAAGAGAGUUAAACAGUACGUGAAAUUGUCAAAAGGGAAGCGUUUGACACCAGUGUUGUUUUUCUGAAAAUCAAUUAAAGAACUGUUUAUGCUAAGUUGUUUAGACUUUAUCAGCUAACUGUUUAGUUUUGAGCUUUUCUUUAAUGCACUUUUCAGUUAACAAGUCAACAUCAAUUUCUUUUGCUGUAAAAAAGCUUGAGGAAGGUGGCUUGAGAUUCGUCUUAAGUGUUUAUAGCCUCUUGCCUAUGCAGUCGGAGAGAUUGAGGUCUGCAGCGUAGAUCCUUCGGGGCUAAAUGCAUUUGUGCUAAGUUAUAGCAUUUCAUAGACAACUUGUUGACUAUGAUUUGUCUUGUAGCUUACUCGCUUAUGUUAUUUUACCUACGCUUAGGAUGUUGACAGCAGUAUAGACUGU
rnacentral:rRNA from 1 species